rnacentral:lncRNA from 1 species
AUGCUAGUAGUGCUAAGUUGCCAGUGGAAACUGCCCAUGGGCCACAUGAGAGACCACGGAUCCUGUAAUGCUGGGAGGCAUAAAGCUGGCACAGAAGUGCUGCAGAGAGGCUGUCACCAGUUAGAGGGAAGGAGCCAGAGAAGCAAGAGGUGUGGCAACAGCCAAGGGUCUUCAAAGGUAGAUGGACUGUGCACCCCCUUCCUGAAUGGGAGACCAGCACAGAGACCUUGGGGGCACGCCCCGCCCAGUCCUGCCCAGCCUCGCCCAGGCUCCAGCCGGAGGCUCCACCCCAGGCCAUGGCCUUCCACUUGCUCACGUGACCACGCCACAGGCAUGCAGAGAGGCAGGCUGAGCUCUGCCAGGCCAGCAGGGUCCUUGCCAGGCCUGGUGGACUUCGAGGACAGGGAGCAGGUGAAGGCCUUUCUGGAGAACGUGGUGGAGUGCAAGUACCAGUGCUACUGUGAGAAGGACCCGGAUGGUCUGUAUGAGCUGUUGGCUGUUCUGCCAGUCCAGCUGGGGCCACUUGUGGACAGCUAG